AUUGAACGCUGGCGGCAUGCCUUACACAUGCAAGUCGAACGGUAACGGGCCUUCGGGUGCCGACGAGUGGCGAACGGGUGAGUAAUAUAUCGGAACGUACCUUUCAGUGGGGGAUAACGUAGCGAAAGUUACGCUAAUACCGCAUAUUCUGUGCGCAGGAAAGCAGGGGACCUUCGGGCCUUGCGCUGAUUGAGCGGCCGAUAUCAGAUUAGCUAGUUGGUGAGGUAAAGGCUCACCAAGGCGACGAUCUGUAGCGGGUCUGAGAGGAUGAUCCGCCACACUGGAACUGAGACACGGUCCAGACUCCUACGGGAGUCAGCAGUGGGGAAUUUUGGACAAUGGGGGCAACCCUGAUCCAGCCAUGCCGCGUGAGUGAAGAAGGCCUUCGGGUUGUAAAGCUCUUUCGGCCGGGAAGAAAUCGUAUGGGCUAAUACCCUGUGCGGAUGACGGUACCGGCAUAAGAAGCACCGGCUAACUACGUGCCAGCAGCCGCAGUAAGAC
rnacentral:rRNA from 1 species